rnacentral:miRNA from 1 species
UUACUGUGGGUGUUUCCUGAGA